AUUUGACGUUACCUACAGAAGAAGCACCGGCUAACUCCGUGCCAGCAGCCGCGGUAAUACGGAGGGUGCGAGCGUUAAUCGGAAUUACUGGGCGUAAAGCGCAUGCAGGCGGCCUGUUAAGUCAGAUGUGAAAGACCCGGGGCGUUAACCUCGGAAUUGCAUUUGAAACUAGGCAGGCUAGAGUCUUGUAGAGGGGGGUAGGAAGUUUCUAGGUGUAGCGGUGAAAUGCGUAGAGAUCUGAAGGAAUACCAGUGGCGAAGGCGGCCCCCUCGGACAAAGACUGACGCUCAGAUGCGAAAGCGUGGGGAGCAAACAGGAUUAGAUACCCCUGGUAG
rnacentral:rRNA from 1 species